UUUUAAACCGGUAUGGUUGCUUUUGUGCUUACAAAUUUUUACCCUUUUUUUUGGCUUCUGCGACUUCUAAACCAGUAUGUGCUGUUACAGUUGGGCUGCUAUUAAUCUGGUGUGAUCCUUAUUUACUUUGAGAAUAACUUCUUUCCUUGACCAGUCCCUCCCUUACUUUUUAUUCUAAGAAUUUGUUUUUAUUUUUGCUUGCUAUUUAAGAAAAUAAAAUGUAUCAUUUGUAGUGUCUAAUACUAUAAAACAUCAUAAUGCUCAGAAACUAUAUGAUGUCACCAUGGAAUGCUCUUUUUCUGAGGUAAAUCAAGCUUGUGAAUAAAUUAGGG
rnacentral:misc_RNA from 1 species